GCCAGCGUGGUGAAAUUGGUAGACACGCUAGACUCAAAAUCUAGUAGGAAUUAUCCUGUGUGGGUUCAAGUCCCACCGCUGGUA